UGGGUUUUUAAAAGAAACUGCA
rnacentral:piRNA from 1 species